UAACAGGUCGGGAUAGCUCAGUUGGA
rnacentral:tRNA from 1 species